UAAUGAUGUGUGUCCUCCAGGC
rnacentral:piRNA from 1 species